rnacentral:rRNA from 1 species
UAGGGAAUCUUCCGCAAUGGACGAAAGUCUGACGGAGCAACGCCGCGGGAGUGAAGAAGGAUUUCGGUUCGUAAAACUCUGUUGUUAGGGAAGAAAAAAUGUAUAGUAACUAUAUACAAAAGAGACGGUACCUAACCAGAAAGCCACGGCUAACUACGUGCCAGCAGCCGCGGUAAUACGUAGGUGGCAAGCGUUGUCCGGAAUUAUUGGGCGUAAAGCGCGCGCAGGUGGUUUAGAAAGUCUGAUGUGAAAGCCCACGGCUCAACCGUGGAGGGUCAUUGGAAACUAAUAAACUUGAGUGCAGGAGAGAAAAGUGGAAUUCCUAGUGUAGCGAUGAAAUGCGUAGAGAUUAGGAGGAACACCGGUGGCGAAAGCGGCUUUUUGGCCUGCAACUGACACUGAGGCGCGAAAGCGUGGGGAGCAAACAGG